rnacentral:rRNA from 1 species
AUACGAAGGUCCCGAGCGUUAUUCGGAAUCACUGGGCGUAAAGAGUAUGUAGGCGGUUUGGUAAGUCAGGUGUGAAAUCCCGGAGCUCAACUUCGGAACUGCAUCCGAUACUGCCAGACUAGAGUAAUGGAGAGGCAGGUGGAAUUCUCGGUGUAGCAGUGAAAUGCGUGGAUAUCGAGAGGAAGACCAAUGGCGAAGGCAGCCUGCUGGACAUUUUCUGACGCUGAGAUACGAAGGCUAGGGGAGCGAAAGGGAUUAGAAACCCGGGUAGUCC